rnacentral:tRNA from 1 species
GUUGAGAUGGCCGAGUUGGUCUAAGGCGCCAGAUUAAGGUUCAAAUCCCACUCUCAACA